AGAAGUAAAAUUCUCCGCGAGUA
rnacentral:tRNA from 1 species